CAAUAGCGUAUAUUAAAGUUGUUGCGGUUAAAAAGCUCGUAGUUGGAUUUCUGCUGAGAACGACCGGUCCGCCCUUUGGGUGUGUAUCUGGCUCUUUCUUGGCAUCUUCUUGGUGAACGUUGCUGCACUUGACUGUGUGGAGCGCUACCCAGGACUUUUACUUUGAGGAAAUUAGAGUGUUUCAAGCAGGCGUACGCCUUGAAUACAUUAGCAUGGAAUAAUAAGAUAGGACCUCGGUUCUAUUUUGUUGGUUUCUAGAGCUGAGGUAAUGAUUAAUAGGGAUAGUUGGGGGCAUUCGUAUUUAACUGUCAGAGGUGAAAUUCUUGGAUUUGUUAAAGACGGACUACUGCGAAANCANNNGCCAAGGAUGUUUUCAUNGA
rnacentral:rRNA from 1 species